AAUCAACGCUGGCGGCGUGCCUAACACAUGCAAGUCGAGCGGGAAAGGGGGCUUCGGCCCCUGAGUAUAGCGGCGGACGGGUGAGUAACACGUGGGUAAUUUGCCCUUGGGUGUGGAAUAACUCAGGGAAACUUGAGCUAAUACCGCAUGACAUCCCCUUCACACACGAGUCGGGGAUCAAAGCCGGGGACCCUUCGGGCCUGGCGCCUGAGGAGAAGCCCGCGCCCGAUUAGCUAGUUGGGAGGUAAUGCUCACCAAGGCUACGAUAGGUAGCCGGCCUGAGAGGGCGGACGGCCACACUGGGACUGAGACACGGCCCAGACUCCUACGGGAGGCAGCAGGUGGGGUAAUUUUUGUCAAUGGGGGAAACCCUGAACAAGCAACGCCGCGU
rnacentral:rRNA from 1 species